rnacentral:rRNA from 1 species
CUCAUUAACACGUAGUCAACCUGCCCUAGAGACACGGACAACCCCGGGAAACUGGGAUUAAUCCGUGAUAGGUCACCUCAUCUGGAAGGAGAGAUGGCUUAAAGGGGUACGCGGGCUUCUUCUGCGUAUUCGCUCUAGGAUGGGACUGCGUCCGAUCAGGCUGUUGGCGGGGUAAUGGCCCACCAAACCUGUAACCGGUACGGGCCUUGAGAGAGGUGGCCCGGAGAUGGACACUGAGAGAAGGGUCCAGGUCCUACGGGGCGCAGCAGGCGCGAAACCUUCGCAAUGCGCGAAAGCGUGACGAGGUUAAUCCGAGUGGUCCCCGCUGAGGGGAUCUUUUGUCAGCUGUAAAUAGGCAGGCGAAUAAGGGGAGGGCAAGCCUGGUGUCAGCCGCCGCGGUAAUACCAGCUCCUCGAGUGGUCGGGGCGAUUAUUGGGCCUAAAGCAUCCGUAGCCGGUUCCGUAGGUCCUCUGUUAAAUCCAACCGCUUAACGGUUGACCUGCAGAGGAUACCGCGGGACUAGGAGGCAGGAGAGGCGGACGGUACUCCGCGUGUAGGGGUAAAAUCCUUUGAUCCGCGGAAGA